rnacentral:rRNA from 2 species
GGUCUGAGAGGAUGAUCAGCCACACUUGGAACUGAGACACGGUCCAGACUCCUACGGGAGGCAGCAGUGGGGAAUAUUGCACAAUGGGGGAAACCCUGAUGCAGCCAUGCCGCGUGUGUGAAGAAGGCCUUCGGGUUGUAAAGCACUUUCAGCGAGGAGGAAAGGUCAGUAGCUAAUAUCUGCUGGCUGUGACGUUACUCGCAGAAGAAGCACCGGCUAACUCCGUGCCAGCAGCCGCGGUAAUACGGAGGGUGCAAGCGUUAAUCGGAAUUACUGGGCGUAAAGCGCACGCAGGCGGUUGGAUAAGUUAGAUGUGAAAGCCCCGGGCUCAACCUGGGAAUUGCAUUUAAAACU